AAGAGUUCAGAUGCUAGGAUGGGAGAGGGAUUCUGGGAAGCUGGCCAAAAGCUGACCCCGCAGAUGGGAUUCCUUCCUGAGAAGCAGUGCAGUGUGUCAGUGAGAAAAGAGACAGUGCCUGGAGUCUGGGUCCCAUGGGCAAUUCUGGCUGCAUGGGAGACGAGGAGGGGAGCAGUGAGGUCUGGCUGCUGUGGGUCCUACGGGAAGACAGCAGAGCCUGGGAAGAUGCGGAGUGUCUGCAUGGGCAGGGCCCUGGCCACAGAGACUGGGACUUGGGACCUGGUUACCAACUCCAGAGGCCUGAGUCACAGGGGACGUGACACUUAGCCCAUUGCUGCUGGGAGUUCAGCCAUCUCCCUUUCAGGGUCGCUUGGCGCAGAUUCCAUGUUGCACACUGUGUCUAUGUUAGGCGUGCUUUCCCCAGAAGACACAUGUAAAUGCACAGACUUGAAUGGUUAACAAUGCCCUCUGGAGUUGUGCAAAGGGACAUCCGUACUACCACCAACACAGGAAUAUAAACUUCAAAAGUAGAAGAGAGUGACUGCUCGGUGAGCUCAGGGUCUCCUUUGGGAUGAUCAAGAUAUUGUAGAAUGGACGGAGGUGGUGAGGGCACAGCAUGUGCACACAUUAAAUGCCAGUGACUUGUGCACUUUAAAAAGUUUCAUUUUAUAUUUGAAUUUCAUCUCAAUAAAAAAAAAUUUUUUUUAAGUUUUUUUAAGGCACUCGAAAGGAAAGUACAAAUUGCUUUAAAAGAUUUCCCACAAGUCAGCCCUCUCUGACAAUGUGUGCGUUUCCCACAAUGCACCUCUCUCC
ensembl:lncRNA